GUGCUCGCUUCAGCAGAACAUAUAGUAAAAUUGGAACGCUACAAAGAAAAUCAGCAUGACCCUUGCGCAAGGAUGACUCACAAAUUUGUGAAGCAUUCCAUAUUUUU